CUUUUAAUGAACAACGUUAUUUUUCGUUUCUUUUUUUACUUUAGCACCUGAAUCUCGGGGGCUUUUGCGUAUAGCGAGUAGAAUAGAAACGAAAAGUUACGCUAAAGCCUCCGUCAGGAGGCUUUUUUGUU
rfam:Lucilia cuprina strain LS Scaffold1539, whole genome shotgun sequence.